AGCCUUGCGCAGUGGCAGUAUCAUAGCCAAUGAGGUUUAUCCAAGGCGCGAUUAUUGCUAAUUAAAAGCCAUGGCUGUGGCGAAGUGCAGCUUCCUGACCAACUUGUUCCUUGGUGAGAGCGAGUGAACAGUGGUGAGUCAG